rnacentral:rRNA from 1 species
AGCAGCCGCGGUAAUUCCAGCUCCAAUAGCGUAUAUUAAAGUUGUUGCAGUUAAAAAGCUCGUAGUUGAAUUUCGGGACCGGUUUACUGGUCGUGCUUUUGUACGUACUGGUAUUAUUGGUUUCUCCUUUCUGACGAAUCAUAAUGCCAUUAAUUUGGUGUUUUGGGGAAUCAGGACUGUUACUUUGAAAAAAUUAGAGUGUUUAAAGCAGGCUCACGCUUGAAUACAUUAGCAUGGAAUAACGAAAUAGGACGUUUGAUUUUAUUUUGUUGGUUUCUAGGAUCGACGUAAUGAUUAAUAGGGAUAGUUGGGGGCAUUAGUAUUCAAUUGUCAGAGGUGAAAUUCUUGGAUUUAUUGAAGACUAACUACUGCGAAAGCAUUUGCCAAGGAUGUUUUCAUUAAUCAAGAACGAAAGUUAGGGGAUCGAAGACGAUCAGAUACCGUCGUAGUCUUAACCAUAAACUAUGCCGACUAGGGAUCGGAUGAUGUUAAUUUUUAAUGACUCAUUCGGCGCCUUACG